UUACGGGAGGCAGCAGUGGGGAAUAUUGCACAAUGGGGGAAACCCUGAUGCAGCAACGCCGCGUGAGCGAUGAAGGCCUUCGGGUUGUAAAGCUCUGUCUUCGGGGACGAUAAUGACGGUACCCGAGGAGGAAGCCACGGCUAACUACGUGCCAGCAGCCGCGGUAAUACGUAGGUGGCAAGCGUUGUCCGGAAUUAUUGGGCGUAAAGGAUGCGUAGGUGGUUCUUUAAGUGGGAUGUGAAAUCCCUGGGCUUAACCCAGGAAUUGCAUUCCAAACUGGAGGACUAGAGUGCAGGAGAGGAAAGUGGAAUUCCCAGUGUAGCGGUGAAAUGCGUAGAGAUUGGGAGGAACACCAGUGGCGAAGGCGGCUUUCUGGACUGUAACUGACACUGAGGCAUGAAAGCGUGGGGAGCAAACAGGAUUAGAAACCCUUGUAGUCCG
rnacentral:rRNA from 1 species